CCAGACUCCUACGGGAGGCAGCAGUGGGGAAUAUUGCACAAUGGGGGAAACCCUGAUGCAGCGACGCCGCGUGAAGGAUGAAGUAUUUCGGUAUGUAAACUUCUAUCAGCAGGGAAGAAAAUGACGGUACCUGACUAAGAAGCCCCGGCUAACUACGUGCCAGCAGCCGCGGUAAUACGUAGGGGGCAAGCGUUAUCCGGAUUUACUGGGUGUAAAGGGAGCGUAGACGGCAUGGCAAGUCUGAUGUGAAAACCCGGGGCUCAACCCCGGGACUGCUCUGGAAACUGUACGGCUGGAGUGCAGGAGAGGUAAGUGGAAUUCCUAGUGUAGCGGUGAAAUGCGUAGAUAUUAGGAGGAACACCAGUGGCGAAGGCGGCCUGCUGGACGGUGACUGACGCUGAGGCUCGAAAGCGUGGGGAGCAAACAGGAUUAGAUACCCUUGUAC
rnacentral:rRNA from 1 species